rnacentral:rRNA from 1 species
CCCGACUCCUACGGGAGGCAGCAGUGGGGGAUAUUGCACACUGGGGGAAACCCUGCUGCAGCGACGCCGCUUGAGUGAAUACGUCUUUCGGUAUGUCCCGCUCUAUCCGCCUUUAAGAAGAUGCCCGUACCUGAGUCCUUCUCCCCGGCUCCCUCCGUGCCAGCCGCCUCGGUAAUACUUCUUUGGCAAGCUUUCUCCGGAUUUACUGGGUUGAAAGGGCGUGUAGGCGGGGACGCAAGUCAGAGUGGAAAACCACGGGAGCAACCUGUGGCCUGCAUUUGAAACUGUGUUUCUUGAGUGCUGGAGAGGCAAUCGGAAUUCCGUGUGUAGCGGUGAAAUGCGUAGAGAGACGGAGGAACACCAGUGGCGAAGGCGGAGUGCUGGACAGUAACUGACGCUGAGGCGCGAAAGCGUGGGGAGCAAACAGGAUUAGAUACCCCCGUA